AGUUUCGCCACAAGUUUAAGUACAAAUCCCGAAGGCAUUGAAUACGUGUUUUUGUUAGGAUUGACAAGGUGAAGCCUAGUCUACAUCCCCGUUACGACGGGCCUUUUGAAGUCGUUAAACGGCUGAGGAAAGAUUUCGUGCUAAAUAUCAACGGUAGGAAGGACACAGUGUCGAUAGACAGGCUGAAAC